UGGUGCCUAAAAUGCGUGGGUGGACAGGCUCCCUGCUUGUGCAGCGAACUGUUUUACGUGCGCAUCAUCAAGUUUGCCCCAAUUGCUUAGAGAGCAUCAUUGGGCYUGGUUUGGUUUCUGUGUUGGCUACCUACUUGGAAGAGAGUGUCCCUUAAUGUUUGUCUUUGUAUCGGCUUGCACCCUUUUAGGGGGAAUGCUCGGUGAUCUUAGUAAUGCUUCUCAUAUUCCAUUGUCACGCUAUCACAGUGUAGUGGUGGCAACGRCCUAUGUGUAAGUAUUCGUAAUCUUGGAUGCGGAAUGCGGAAUUGGGUAUUGGGUUGAAUAAACCUUUUAUCCCAAGCAGAGCAUCUUUAUGCUCGGCACGUACGACACUUGCAAUUGCGUUGACYUUUCCCAACUUGAUUGAUGGGGGGGCUCAUGCGAUGCAAGCGUCAUAAAGGAAUGCUACCUGGUUGAUCCUGCCAGUAGUCAUAUGCCUUGUCUCA
rnacentral:misc_RNA from 1 species